UACGUAGGGAGCAAGCGUUGUCCGGAAUUAUUGGGCGUAAAGAGCUCGUAGGCGGCCUGUUGCGUCGGUUGUGAAAGCCCGGGGCUUAACCCCGGGUCUGCAGUCGAUACGGGCAGGCUAGAGUUCGGUAGGGGAGAUCGGAAUUCCUGGUGUAGCGGUGAAAUGCGCAGAUAUCAGGAGGAACACCGGUGGCGAAGGCGGAUCUCUGGGCCGAUACUGACGCUGAGGAGCGAAAGCGUGGGUAGCAAACAGG
rnacentral:rRNA from 1 species